GGCGGUAGGAAGGCGGCUGUCGCUUUUAAAAAGCGGCUGCCGCCGGCGGUGCGCCGUCAAACGUGUUUACGAUAUCGCCAUUCUGCCGCUUCUACUGCCGCCGGAGCACCGCCAGCGGACCGCCGACUUAUUGCUAUCUGGUUUUCAUCGGUGAUUACCACAAUGACGUACUUCAGAGAGAGAGAGGAUUCACUCUAUCUUUUGGCUGAUGUCACUGCAACUCCAGCAGAUGUAGAGAGAAACUUCACUGUUCCCAGCAUCCCAAGGUGAUUGCACUUGGAGAUUCUGUUCUCCAAGCAAAAACAUGGAUGCUAACUAUGGAGGGCGGCGUCAUCAUCCAGCUGCAGGAGCUAACAGAUUUUUCAUCAGCAUUAGCUGUCCGGUUUGGCUGCUACUAUGUAUUCAAUGUGCAGUACCAGGAAGAGGCGGCCAGUACACUGGAGUUUAUUCAGAUGUUCAUUCUGAGAAUCAACCCUGAUGGCACCAAAUAGCAAUCAAAGUCACACAUCAGCUAAAAAUCUGGAUAGAGGAUGCAAAGAAAAAGCAUCAGUCUGAAUCUCCCUGUAGCAUCUCUCAUCAGAGAGAUUGUUGAUUGUUAUUGGCAAAAUUACUAAAAAGUAACAACAAACUGAUUGUGGCAGCGGGCGCUUGACCACACCCCCGCUGCCACAUAGCCACCAGAAGAAGUGGUGGAACUGUUACAUUGUGAAAGUCUAAAAGAGUGUAAAUUAAAGAGUGUUACCUUUGAAGCCAAAACGCUGUUUCCCGUGUCUUCCUUAGUGGAAACCUUUACACUGAUUUUUUUAUUGCAUUUUAUUUUGGCUUGUAUCACUUUGAA